UGGAAACAAUUCGCUUUUCACACCAGCAUCAAUAUGGCCCCCAAGAGGAGUAUUUCCAGCCAUUUGAACUAUUUGAUUACCCUGCUUACAAAGGCAUAGGUUAUAUAAAUAAAAAAGUAUCAACAUACUCCAUAACAAGCAAAGAAGGCAUAUUAGGAGUCUCACAUUUGGUGUGCGCCAGAGUGCAUUAGGUACAGGUGGUUGAUAUGCCAACUGUGGUCAACACUGUACUGAUGACUAGGGCAGUAGCAUGGAUUGAGAUAGCAGUGAAGGUUGAGUUGGCACUGGUGGUUGAGGUAUAAAGACUGAAGGGUAAGUGUGGGAAAACACUUAUUUACAGCUGGUUGUAAUCUUGUAAUCUGUAUAUUUAUAUUUGUAUCUCUAGAAUUAAGUAUUUGUAUCCCUAGAAUUAAGGAAGAUUUAGUUUCCUAGUUUAACCCUUAGUUAGUUGUAUAUAAACCUAAGAUUCUUGUAUAAUUGUAGAUAAGCAGUUUUUCAAUAUACAUUCAGUUUUCACAUGGUAUCAGAGCUUUAGGCUAUUCUUGGGAAGAAAAAUUUUUCAGCCUUCAUUGCUGACUUUUUUAGGCCUUCAUUGCCGACUUUUUUAGGCUUUCAUUGCCGAAUCCUGUUUAGGCCUUCAUUGCCGAACCCUUUCAAAGAAAGAUAUCACUAUCAUCCAAUUUGAGAAAAUGUUAACUGGAAAAAUCACUGGAGUACUACAAAUGUCUCAGAAAAAAGGAGAGUUCAACAGGGAAGAGAUUGAAAAGUUGAGAAACUUAUUGAAAAUCCUUGAAAAGCCUACUAUGGUAUGUUCUUUGGGUAAAGUUUCUAGUUCAGGUAAAGCUUUCGGUUCUCAUGGAUUAAAUGUCUCGGCUAACCUAUUACGAGUUCUUGGGUCAUUGACUCAGGAGCUACAGACCACAUGACACAUUCCCCACAAAAGUUUAGUACAUAUAACCUGUGUCCUAGUAAUAAGAAAAUUGUUGUUGCUGAUGGUUCACUUACCACAGUGGCAGGAUUAGGAGAUGUUCAAGUUAAUCCCUCGUUUGUUCUCAAAAAUGUUCUUCAUGUUCCUGGAUUGUCUACUAAUCUGAUAUCUAUACAAAAACUUACCAAAGAUAUGAAUUGCAAAGUAACUUUUUAUCCCUCUUAUUGUGAAUUUCAGGACCAGAGUUCGGGGAAGAUGAUUGGACUUGCUAAGGAGAAGGAUGGACUAUACUAUCUUGAGACAUCAAAUAACACAAGUAGUAUCAAAAAUAGUUUACCUUUGUCAUUUCUUUCUGAAAAAUCUUCCAAUAAAGACAAAAUUUGGCUUUAUCAUUUUCGUCUUGGACAUCCUUCUUUUGGAACCUUGAGAAACAUGUUUCCUUCUUUGUUCAAAGGAUUAAAUGUUGAAGAUUUUCAUUGUGAUAUUUGUGAAUUUGCAAAACAUAGACGUGUGUCUUUUCCAAUCAGUAACAAAAGAAGUUCUACUCCCUUUUACUUGAUUCAUAGUGACAUUUGGGGUCCCUCUACAAUUCCUAAUAUUUCUGGUGCGAGAUGAUUUGUUUCAUUCAUAGAUGAUUGUACUAGGGUCUCUUGGGUUUUUUUGCUUAAAUCCAAAUCAGAUGUGAAUAGUGUGUUUUUUAAGCUUCCAAAACAUGAUCCAAAAUCAAUUUGGAGUGAGAAUCAAUAGAUUUAGGUCUGAUAAUGCAAGAGACUACUUCAACUAGAGUUUAUCCAC
rnacentral:lncRNA from 1 species